UCUUCGUUCCCAGUAUUCUCACUUAUUUUUUUGUCUGUAUCCAUUUCUCUUUUGCUGUUCUUUUUUCCCUGUAUCUUCACUCGUCUUUCUUCUGACCACGCUCCUUUUCUGAUCUUUCUUCCCUGUAUCCUCACACCUCUUCAUCAUCUCCACUCCUCUUCUGCUCUUCUUUUUUCAUUGUACUUUCUCCUCUUUCUUCAUCUGCUCUCUUUCACUGCUCUUCUGUUUAUAGCACUAUCUGCUCUUCUUUACUGCUCUUUUCAUUCUCUGCUCUUCUGUCCUCACUUCUUCUCUUGUGCUUUUCUUGCUUGCCUCUUUCCUCUCUUCCCAUCUCCUUUACUUCUGCCACACUUGGUUUCUCUCUAUUCCUCUUCAGCUCCUCUCCACUUCUGCUUUUGUCUUAACUGCUGUAUCCUUUCCAUCGUGCUAGUCCCUUUGUCAUGACUCCUCCUGCCUCUCCGUUCUACCUCCUUCAACUUUCUGACUGUUACAGAUGACAUUCAUCCCUUCCCACCCUCCCUGGACUGUACACGUGCCAGCUCUGGAUGUCCCCAGAGGGACUCGCUGUGACCUCACAGUCUUGGUGCUGCCUCAUGCACUGGAUUUCACAGCACCUUGACAGUGAGUAGUGGUCUUCUGAGGAUGCUGAGCAAUGCUCUUGAGCUCUGUUCUUUUUCUGGACCAGUAUCCCAAGCCAUCUUGAGCCCAGAGCCCAUCUCUCUUUUUCCCUGGGGUUCUGGGGCAGAGGUUGGACUUUGCCAGCCGCCAGCUUCACAACGCAAGGGACAGCAGCAGGGCAGUCCUGCAGCUCAUGGCAGCCCUGUGGCUCUGCUCCCUUGCCAGGCUGGAGAGCUGAAUCAGCUCUGAGACGUGGCCCCAGUUGUCCUCCUGACAGUUGAUCCUGAUCCUUCCCUGAGUCCUGUUGCAGACUGCUGAUAAGAGGAGCAGGUAACAGGCAGAAGGAUCUGGCCUUCUGCUAGGUGGCAGCCACCUGCAUGAUCUGUUCCUGCGUUUCUUUUUUUUUUUUCUCCAGGGUGGCCUUGUGCUUCCCAAGGAGUGUGCGGACUUUUCUGAUGGGAGUGAGCAGCAAGGAGCCAAAGAGGUCUCAGCUUCCUUCCUGCCCAGCCACCUGGGUGAGGGACACUGCAAACAGCCCAGGAGCAGUGUAUGAAACAUCCCCAAGGGCUCCUUCUGCCAGGGUCUCUUGUUUUCCUGCCUCUGACUUUCCUCAGAAACCCAAAGCAGCAGUGUGAAGCCUGCUGGAGUCUUGUGUUGUUGUUUGCUGCUCACCGCCUGUUCAAAUGCUCCAGAGGAGUAUUCUUUGUUCCACAGAAAUUGCAGGCGGCCGUUCUUAGAGGUGCUUUGUGCUUCCUGCUCAGCCUGAGAAGGUGGAGUUAUGCUGACUUUUCCUCAGUACUCUAAGCUCUCUUUAAUGAAAUAAAUUACAAUGAAAGCUGAGCCAUGAGCAGACCAGUUCUGCCCGUGCAGGUUCGGUGACCUCCUCAUUCCCCCUGCCACGUGGCGUGGUGCUGGCAGAACUGUCUGUGUUUCCUUGGACCUACCUGCUCACGGUGCUUGCACAGCUAUCCGGGUUUCCUUUAUGCCAUGUAUCUAAAGCUGCCUUUCUCUUCCAGGCGGAGCCUUUUUUUGUGUCAAGAUUGUUUUGCUUGUGUAACUAGAGAGGGUUUUUCAUUUACUUCUAUACUCUGGUCCAUUCCCAUGUCUUCCUUCCUCUGCAUACAUGAGGGCAUCCUCAUCACGUCUGCUGGUGCUGGGGGUGGGCCAAAGGGCUUCCACCAGAGGGAGACCCAGCUGUGCAGAACAGAAGGGUGUGAAGCGGUAUUGAGCUAGGCCUGGCCCAGAGUGCUCAGGGCAGUGCAGGGCAGUGGUGGGUCGCUGUCUGCGAGAUAUGGUUUAGUAGCUUGUGAUAGCAGUGGUAAUGAGAAGACGUUUGGACUAGAUGAUCUUAUAGGUUGUUUCUAACCUUGUGAUUCUAUGAACCAUGGGUUGUAUUAUUCUGUGCUUUGACUUUUGGUCAGAUCUAGACCAACUCAGAGGGUGAAAUCUGUAAGAAAGAAGCCUACUUCAGGUAUUACUGUAGGAUACAGGACUGAAAUCUUUUCCCUUGCUUGGGAAGCUGUGUGGCUGCAUUGCAGAGAGUACGGUUUGCAGUUUGUACAAUUAAUGAAUAAUGUUAUGGUAUAGCAGUGUACAAUCAAUGAAUAUACAGAUGGUAUAGUAUAUCCAGGAG